rnacentral:rRNA from 1 species
GACGAAGGGGGCUAGCGUUGUUCGGAAUUACUGGGCGUAAAGCGCGUGUAGGCGGUUGCCCAAGUCGGGUGUGAAAGCCUUGAGCUCAACUCAAGAAAUGCACUCGGUACCGGGUGACUAGAGGACCGGAGAGGAUAGUGGAAUUCCCAGUGUAGUGGUGAAAUACGUAGAGAUUGGGAAGAACACCAGUGGCGAAGGCGGCUAUCUGGACGGUUUCUGACGCUAAGACGCGAAAGCGUGGGGAGCAAACAGG